rnacentral:snRNA from 1 species
ACAUUUUCUCCGAGACCAGGGUGAUCACGAAUUCUCUGACUCCAGGUGGAGGCUCACCCUUGCACUCUGGCGGGUUAAAGUCUGUGACGAUCCCUAAUCGGGCUCGCUCGGGCGCGUAGAUUUUGCCAGUGGGGAGGUCUUCGGAUCACCCCUU